rnacentral:tRNA from 1 species
GGGGUUGUAGCUCAGUUGGCUAGAGCACCUGCUUUGCACGCAGGGGGUCAGGGGUUCGACUCCCCUCAGCUCCA